GAUGAAGAACGUAGCGAAAUGCGAUUAGUAAUGCGAAUUGCAGAAUUCCAGUGAAUCAUCGAAUCUUUGAACGCACAUUGCGCCCGCCAGUAUUCUGGCGGGCAUGCCUGUUCGAGCGUCAUUUCAACCCUCAAGCACAGCUUGGUGUUGGGACUCGCGUUAAUUCGCGUUCCCCAAAUUGAUUGGCGGUCACGUCGAGCUUCCAUAGCGUAGUAGUAAAACCCUCGUUACUGGUAAUCGUCGCGGCCACGCCGUUAAACCCCAACUUCUGAAUGUUGACCUCGGAUCAGGUAGGAAUACCCGCUGAACUUAAGCAUAUCAAUAAGCGGAGGA
rnacentral:misc_RNA from 1 species